CAUGUUGGUUAAUUCGAAGCAACGCGAGAACCUUACAGGUCUUGACAUCCGAUGCUAUUCUAGAGAUAGAAAGUACUUCGGUACAUCGGUGACAGGUGGUGCAUGGUUGUCGUCAGCUCGUGUCGUGAGAUGUUGGGUUAAGUCCCGCAACGAGCGCAACCCCUAUUGUUAGUUGCCAUCAUUCAGUUGGGCACUCUAGCGAGACUGCCGGUAAUAAACCGGAGGAAGUGGGGAUGACGUCAAAUCAUCAUGCCCCUUAUGACCUGGGCUACACACGUGCUACAAUGGUUGGUACAACGAGUUGCGAGUCGGUGACGGCGAGCUAAUCUCUUAAAGCCAAUCUCAGUUCGGAUCGGAGUCUGCAACUCGACUCCGUGAAGUUGGAAUCGCUAGUAAUCGCGGAUCAGCACGCCCGCGGUCGAAUACGUUCCCGGGCCUU
rnacentral:rRNA from 1 species